rnacentral:tRNA from 1 species
GACAGUAUAGCUCAGUGGAAGUGUGUGUGCUUAGCAUGCACGAGGUCCUGGGUUCAAUCCCUAGUACCUCCA